AUCUGUUACAAUCUUAACUCCCUUCAUAGGCUGAAAAUCCGGUACUGACACUUUAUACACGGCAUCAGCCAACUUUUGACGGUUCUUCGCCCAAUCAGGUAAAGGGAUUCCGAAUGCCUCUGCUCUUAAUAUAGAUGCAGCCACAAUAAAAUUGAGGUGACUAGGAUCGCUAGCUGAAAAUUCCAAAGGCCGAGGAAAACGU
rnacentral:misc_RNA from 1 species